GGUGCUGGAAUAUUAUGCAGGAUGUUCCACCACUGCAUCUAACUGAAAUUGUGACAUAUCUGGUUCGGCAAUCUGGGCCAUUUUUAGAUCAACUUGGCAUACAGAGAGACCUUUGUGACAAACUAGUGGAGAUGUUAUGCAGUAAACGAAAUGGUCGGCUCAUGUAUCAUUCUCUUUCACAGGACAGACCCUUAGCUGAGAACAUAUCUGACGAGCUUGAUCUAAGAAUAGCUAGGGUAUUAGAAAGUACUGGUUAUCACACAGAUGAAGGUUUUUGGAAUGACCCUGCAAAG